rnacentral:rRNA from 1 species
CCUACGGGUGGCAGCAGUGGGGAAUAUUGGACAAUGGGGGCAACCCUGAUCCAGCAAUUCUGUGUGCACGAAGACGGUUUUCGGAUUGUAAAGUGCUUUCAGCAGGGAAGAAGGAAGUGACGGUACCUGCAGAAGAAGCGACGGCUAAAUACGUGCCAGCAGCCGCGGUAAUACGUAUGUCGCGAGCGUUAUCCGGAAUUAUUGGGCAUAAAGGGCAUCUAGGCGGCCUUUCAAGUCAGGGGUGAAAACCUGCGGCUCAACCGCAGGCCUGCCUUUGAAACUGAUAGGCUGGAGUACCGGAGAGGUGGACGGAACUGCACGAGUAGAGGUGAAAUUCGUAGAUAUGUGCAGGAAUGCCGAUGAUGAAGAUAGUUCACUGGACGGUAACUGACGCUGAAGUGCGAAAGCCGGGGGAGCGAACAGGAUUAGAUACCCUAGUA